rnacentral:rRNA from 1 species
GACGAACGCUGGCGGCGUGCUUAACACAUGCAAGUCGAACGGAAAGGCCUCUUUCGGGGGGUACUCGAGUGGCGAACGGGUGAGUAACACGUGAGUAACCUGCCCCUGACUUUGGGAUAACUUCAGGAAACUGGGGCUAAUACCGGAUAGGAGCUCCUGCUGCAUGGUGGGGGUUGGAAAGUUUCGGCGGUUGGGGAUGGACUCGCGGCUUAUCAGCUUGUUGGUGGGGUAGUGGCUUACCAAGGCUUUGACGGGUAGCCGGCCUGAGAGGGUGACCGGCCACAUUGGGACUGAGAUACGGCCCAGACUCCUACGGGAGGCAGCAGUGGGGAAUAUUGCACAAUGGGUGGAAGCCUGAUGCAGCAACGCCGUGUGCGGGAUGACGGCCUUCGGGUUGUAAACCGCUUUCGCUCAUGACGAAGCUUUGUGUGACGGUAGUGGGUAAAGAAGCACCGGCUAACUACGUG